rnacentral:rRNA from 1 species
GGGGAAUAUUGCACAAUGGGGGAAACCCUGAUGCAGCAACGCCGCGUGAGUGAUGAAGGCCUUCGGGUCGUAAAACUCUGUUGUUAGGGAAGAACAAGUAUCGGAGUAACUGCCGGUACCUUGACGGUACCUAACCAGAAAGCCACGGCUAACUACGUGCCAGCAGCCGCGGUAAUACGUAGGUGGCAAGCGUUGUCCGGAAUUAUUGGGCGUAAAGCGCGCGCAGGCGGUCCUUUAAGUCUGAUGUGAAAGCCCACGGCUCAACCGUGGAGGGUCAUUGGAAACUGGGGGACUUGAGUGCAGAAGAGGAAAGCGGAAUUCCACGUGUAGCGGUGAAAUGCGUAGAGAUGUGGAGGAACACCAGUGGCGAAGGCGGCUUUCUGGUCUGUAACUGACGCUGAGGCGCGAAAGCGUGGGGAGCAAAC